GCUCUUCCACCCACCACUACUACCCUCAGCAUCUACUGCACCUCAGUGACAGUUUUCUUCAUUGUCAUUAAGAUGGAAGAGCAGCACAGUUCCUGACAGUGUUGCCAUAUCUGUAUUGACCCAAAACAGGCCAAGUUCAGUAAUAAAAGUGCUAAAAGUAAUAAAACAGCCUGAAACAGACCCUGGACUGAUUGGAGUGAGUAAUAUUUUCAUAAAACUAUGUACCAUAAUUAUUUACACUAACAGCAACAUAUGUAUUUUUACAGAAUGUCACAAAUAUGUUUAUAGUAAUUAGUAUAACAGUAACACAUAAGCAGCAUAACUGCUUUGUUACCCUGCUUUAAAAAACUGUGAAGGAGUGUCCAACAUCUGAUGAGCUGAAGAAUAUAUAGGGUAGGUACCAGCUUUAAUGAUAUGAAUGGCCUGGUUUCACUGCAGUGCAUGAGGUCCUCACAAUUCUUGGAACAUGCUUUGCAGAUAUAUCACUGUAGGUUUCUGUCACAAAGCCUUGCAUAUGAACUGUGGAAUAACUUAACUACUUUCUAUCUUGCCUCAGUUGCAUGCAUGCUGAGUGUGAUAUCCUGCCAGGACCUCUCAAAAAGAGCUGUCAGACAUCUUUGUCAGACUGCCCAAGCACAGAAUUACAACAACAAUAAUACCUCUCUACAAAUCACACGAGAUGCCAACGAUGGAGAAUUGCCUGAGGAGAAUUAUUGCUCAGAUGAAAUUGCUGUGGUGCUUGUUGACAACUCGAGUCCCUCGGCCCACCUGGACAAGAGUGAUAUGGUUAAGAUCCUUAUCACAAUGAGCUGUGACCCACAGACGGCAGCUGAAAACUGAAUGAGUCCGUCAAACAGAGCAUCUUAGAGUCAGCACAGUCCAACCAGGGAGAAUACUGUCCUGUUAAAAUUCCUGUCAUCACCUUCGAUUUGCCUCACGAAGUGGAGGAACCCUCUGCAGGGAGAGGAAAGAUAACUUUACCAGCUGUAACAGUGGCAUGAACAUGGAGGAUGUGGAUUGUGCUGGUUCCUCCUUAAGUCAGAAUCAUAACUCCGCCACAUCCCAGAGCCGAAGCCUUUUUCACGGCCGCCAAAGCAGCUCCCAGUCCAGACACCACGGACUCACCGGGAGUAUCGCAGUCGCCCAGUGCAACCUCAGGGCCAAUGGCCCCCUGUCACCAGCUGAUCGAGUCCCAUCCUGGACAGCCAGCACGGCUCCAACAGCCAGCUGUCCUUCAACACCUCCUCCAUUGCCUCCGUCUUUUCCCAGGUGCCUCGUUUAUCCACAACAGGGCCUCUGGCUCUGGCUCUGGCUCCAGCCAGGCGUCUUCCUCCAGCUCCACACUGAGUCUGCUGUUGGCAAGCGGAGCUGCUCCAGCGGCUUGGUCAUCUCGGGCCUCUCUGCAGCUGAGAGGGGGAACACCAGAGAUACGCAGUCCUCAAGUUCUGACAACAUCGUCCUAGGCCCGUCCUGUCACUCGAGUCAUGCUAUGCAGAAGUGGACAUCAGAGGCGUAUGAGAGCAUAGAUGCUCCACCAUUGCCACAGAACCCAAGGGUCCACAGCUCAGACAAGUGCCAAGACGACAUGAGACCACAACAGCCCAGCAUGGUCCAACUCCUAAGCCCUCAAGUCAUGUACAUUACAGAUGUAUUUUUGAAAAACUAAAAAUCUGCCAUGAGUACAAAUGAACUGAUUUGCUGAAAUCAAAACAGGGACGAUAGUAAGUGAGCCCCAGCCAAUGAGACUGCCGUUUGCGCAUAAGUUCUGCCCACUUGGCACAUGAGAGGAAGCGUGAGGUGUGCGCCUUCACACAAGAGACUUAGGUCUCUGCAGAGCAAAAGUGGGCGUUUAUCACCAUGUGGGUGUUUUCAAACUGCUGGGUGUUUCUGAAUCAUGCAAUCUAAAUGAUCCCCCUUACCCAACCCCACCCCUAAACUUAACAUCACUAUUACAUCAACCAAUCAGGUCUCAUGGUGUAAAAACACCUUGAUCUAAUAACUCCCAUUACUUUCCUGCAGAGACCUAUACUUGGAGUUUAAGGUACGCUAAUAAUGCAUUCUCGACAUUUGUCAGUAAAAUAAUGUCAUAGAUACACAAACACAAACAAAUCGUUUGACAGAGAGUGAAACUCUGAAGUGCUCAGUCAGAGAGUGUUUGGCAAGUGAUAAUAUAUCUGUUCUAAACCUUUACUUAGCCUCCAACUCAAACACUGGCGAGUAAAUUCUGAGAAUUUAUUAGCCACUGGCUUAUAUUAGACAUCAUUCAAUCGCAUAUACGAGUGAUUUACUCACAAUGUAGAGGGUUGGCAAAAGCUUGUUACUAUCUCUGAGAUUAAAUGGUGGAAUCUGAUG
ensembl:lncRNA